rnacentral:rRNA from 1 species
GCAUAUCAAUAAGCGGAGGAAAAGAAACCAACAGGGAUUGCCCUAGUAACGGCGAGUGAAGCGGCAACAGCUCAAAUUUGAAAUCUGGCUUCGGCCCGAGUUGUAAUUUGCAGAGGAAGCUUUAGGCGCGGCACCUUCUGAGUCCCCUGGAACGGGGCGCCAAAGAGGGUGAGAGCCCCGUAUAGUUGGAUGCCUAGCCUGUGUAAAGCUCCUUCGACGAGUCGAGUAGUUUGGGAAUGCUGCUCAAAAUGGGAGGUAAAUUUCUUCUAAAGCUAAAUACCGGCCAGAGACCGAUAGCGCACAAGUAGAGUGAUCGAAAGAUGAAAAGCACUUUGAAAAGAGGGUUAAAUAGCACGUGAAAUUGUUGAAAGGGAAGCGCUUGUGACCAGACUUGCGCCUGGCUGAUCAUCCGGUGUUCUCACCGGUGCACUCUGCCAGGCACAGGCCAGCAUCGGUUCUCGCGGGGGGAUAAAGGCCCUGGGAACGUAGCUCCUCCGGGAGUGUUAUAGCCCAGGGUGUAAUGCCCUCGCGGGGACCGAGGUUCGCGCAUCUGCAAGGAUGCUGGCGUAAUGGUCAUCAGCGACCCGUCUUGAAACACGGACCAAGGAGUCAAGGUUUUGCGCGAGUGUUUGGGUGUAAAACCCGCACGCGUAAUGAAAGUGAACGUAGGUGAGAGCUUCGGCGCAUCAUCGACCGAUCCUGAUGUAUUCGGAUGGAUUUGAGUAGGAGCGUUAAGCCUUGGACCCGAAAGAUGGUGAACUAUGCUUGGAUAGGGUGAAGCCAGAGGAAACUCUGGUGGAGGCUCGCAGCGGUUCUGACGUGCAAAUCGAUCGUCAAAUCUGAGCAUGGGGGCGAAAGACUAAUCGAACCAUCUAGUAGCUGGUUACCGCCGAAGU